rnacentral:rRNA from 2 species
ACCGGUUUCGGCCGGGGAUGAGUGGCGAACGGGUGAGUAACACGUGGGUAAUCUGCCCUGCACUCUGGGAUAAGCCUUGGAAACGGGGUCUAAUACCGGAUAUCACAGCUUCAGGCAUCUGGGGUUGUUGAAAGUUCUGGCGGUGCAGGAUGAACCCGCGGCCUAUCAGCUUGUUGGUGGGGUAAUGGCCUACCAAGGCGACGACGGGUAGCCGGCCUGAGAGGGUGACCGGCCACACUGGGACUGAGACACGGCCCAGACUCCUACGGGAGGCAGCAGUGGGGAAUAUUGCACAAUGGGCGCAAGCCUGAUGCAGCGACGCCGCGUGAGGGAUGACGGCCUUCGGGUUGUAAACCUCUUUCGCCAGGGACGAAGCGCAAGUGACGGUACCUGGAUAAGAAGCACCGGCUAACUACGUGCCAGCAGCCGCGGUAAUACGUAGGGUGCGAGCGUUGUCCGGAAUUAUUGGGCGUAAAGAGCUCGUAGGCGGUUUGUCGCGUCGGCCGUGAAAUCUCCACGCUUAACGUGGAGCGUGCGGUCGAUACGGGCAGACUUGAGUUCGGUAGGGGAGACUGGAAUUCCUGGUGUAGCGGUGAAAUGCGCAGAUAUCAGGAGGAACACCGGUGGCGAAGGCGGGUCUCUGGGCCGAUACUGACGCUGAGGAGCGAAAGCGUGGGGAGCGAACAGGAUUAGAUACCCUGGUAGUCCACGCUGUAAACGUUGGGCGCUAGGUGUGGGCGACAUCCACGUUGUCCGUGCCGUAGCUAACGCAUUAAGCGCCCCGCCUG